rfam:Micromonospora carbonacea strain JXNT-1 contig2, whole genome shotgun sequence.
GCCGGUCGCUCCUUCACUCGGAUCGUCCGGCACGUUCCUGCCGGUGAAAGGAAGCGCUC